UACGUAGGCAGCAAGCGUUGUUCGGAGUUACUGGGCGUAAAGGGUGUGUAGGCGGUUGGAUAAGUGUGGGUGUGAAAUCUCCCGGCUUAACUGGGAGGGUGCGCUACAAACUGUCUGACUAGAGUGUGGGAUGGGAGAGUGGAAUUCCUGGUGUAGCGGUGAAAUGCGCAGAUAUCAGGAGGAACACCGGUGGCGAAAGCGGCUCUCUGGAACGGUACUGACGCUGAGACGCGAAAGCGUGGGGAGCGAACAGG
rnacentral:rRNA from 1 species